rnacentral:rRNA from 1 species
UAGUCUACGCUGUAAACGAUGUGCACUUGGUGGUGGGUAAUUAACUCUCGCUGCCGUAGCUAACGUGUUAAGUGCACCGCCUGGGGAGUAUGCCGGCAACGGUGAAACUCAAAGGAAUUGACGGGGGCCCGCACAAGCGGUGGAGCAUGUGGUUUAAUUCGAUGAUACGCGAGAAACCUUACCAGGGCUUGACAUAUUUAGGAUCGCUGUAGAGAUACAGUUUUUACUUUUGUAACCUUUUUACAGGUGCUGCAUGGUUGUCGUCAGCUCGUGCCGUGAGGUGUUGGGUUAAGUCCCGCAACGAGCGCAACCCUUGUCGUAUGUUACCAUCAUUAAGUUGGGGACUCAUGCGAGACUGCCGGUGACAAACCGGAGGAAGGUGAGGAUGACGUCAAAUCAGCAUGGCCCUUAUGUCCUGGGGCUACACACGUGCUACAAU